rnacentral:rRNA from 1 species
UGUGCGCGAGUUGUACGAUGUGAUGGAAAUCUGUAUGAGAGCGGAAUGAAAGUGAAGGAUGACUUGGCCUNUCGGGGCCUUGUUGUCUGUGAUGCGAGCUUAUCUCUUGUGUAGAGGAUGAGCCCGGCAUCGGCCGAUCGUUGUGUCAGCUGCGUGGUGGUGCCUGAGUGGGCGGCUGCCCUUCCGGGUGGNCUUUUGCUUGGGUUACGUUCACGNGGGCGGCGGGAUUCGAGCAUGAGCGUGCCUGUUGGGACCCGAAAGAUGGUGAACUAUGCCUGAAUAGGGUGAAGCCAGAGGAAAUCUGGUGGAAGCUCGUAGCGGUUCUGACGUGCAAAUCGAUCGUCAAAUUUGGGUAUAGGGGCGAAAGACUAAUCGAACCAUUUAGUAGCUGGUUCCCUCCGAAGUUUCCCUUAGGAUAGCUGGAGCCCGGAUUAUGUGUGUAGUUUUAUCAGGUAAAGCGAAUGAUUAGAGGUAUUGGGGUUGAAAUGACCUCAACCUAUUCUCAAACUUUAAAUGGGUAAGAGGCACAGCUUACUUGAGUGAAGUUGUGUACGUGAAUACAGGGGCUCUUAGUGGGCCAUUUUUGGUAAGCAGAACUGGCGAUGCGGGAUGAACCGAACGCUGGGUUAAGGUGCCCAAGUCAACGCUCAUGAGAUCCCAGGAAAGGUGUUGGUUGAUACAGACAGCAGGACGGUGGCCAUGGAAGUCGAAC